GAUGAAGAACGUAGCGAAAUGCGAUAAGUAAUGUGAAUUGCAGAAUUCAGUGAAUCAUCGAGUCUUUGAACGCACAUUGCGCCCCCUGGCAUUCCGGGGGGCAUGCCUGUCCGAGCGUCAUUGCUGCCCUUCAAGCCCGGCUUGUGUGUUGGGUCGUCGUCCCCCCCGGGGGACGGGCCCGAAAGGCAGCGGCGGCACCGCGUCCGGUCCUCGAGCGUAUGGGGCUUUGUCACCCGCUCGAUUAGGGCCGGCCGGGCGCCAGCCGGCGUCUCCAACCUUCUAUUUUACCAGGUUAACCUCGGAUCAGGUAGGGAUACCCGCUGAACUUAAGCAUAUCAAUAAGCGGAGGA
rnacentral:misc_RNA from 1 species